GUAGUAGCAGCAGUAGCAGCAGCAGCAGUAGUAGCAGCAGCAGUAGUAGUAGCAGCAGUAGCAGCAGGAGCAGCUGGUAGUAGUAGUAGUAGCAGUAGUAGUAGUAGCAGCAGUAGCAGCAGUAGCAGCAGCAGGAGCAGCAGGAGCAGCAGGAGCAGCAGUAGCAGCAGUAGGAGCAGUAGGAGCAGUAGGCGCAGUAGCAGCAGUAGCAGCAGUAGGAGCAGUAGCAGCAGUAGCAGCAGUAGGAGCUGCUAGCUGCUGCUGCUGCUGCAGCAGCAGCAGCAAUAGUAGGUAGUAGUAGUAGUUAGUACUUAGUAGUUAGUAGUUAGUAGUUAGUAAUAGUAGUAGUAGUAG
rnacentral:lncRNA from 1 species